rnacentral:lncRNA from 10 species
CUUGAAUCGCUUCCCAAGUAGCUGGGAUUACAGGCGCCUGCCACCAUGUCUGCUAAUUUUUGUAUUUUUAGUAGAGACUAAAACCAACAUGAUUGGUCAGGCUGAUAUUGAAUUCCUGACCUCAAGUGGUCUGCCCGCCUCAGCCUCCCAAAAGGAAUGGAAUCUUAAAAAAAAAAAAAACAGUGAUGGGAACAGGAUCUCACUAUGUUGCCCAGGCUGGUCUUGAACUCCUCCUGACUGAACCUCCCAAACUGCUGGGAUUACAGGUAUGAGCCACCAUGCCUGGCCAAAAGUCCCUCAACUUUCUGUUUUAAAAAUUGCCACCAGACUUUUCUGCAAUGUCACCUGAAGGGUUCCUGGUCUCACACAAUGCCCACCCCUAAAACACAGCAGCCUAGGCCACCACGUUCUGCCAGGCGAGGUGUGUGGUAGGAAGAGGGCAGGCAGCUCUGGCCUCAGGCACAAAGGGCUGAGUCCUGGGUCCUGGGGACAGGCACUGGCAAUUGAAUCUGGACACUGAGCACUGGGUCCUAACACAAGAAAUCAUUUCCUGGCUCAGGGCAGUGAUCUCUGGGUCCUAAAAACUAGGACCAGAGCAGAGACCAUAGGUCCCUUAUCUCUGGGCGGAGGGUGCUGGGCUAAGUGGCAGUCACCCAAGGCAGGGCCAGGGGUAAGGAGAUGCCCAGCCCCCAGUUGUUUUGUAACAGCUGCUGGACUGGGCUGGAGGGGAAAUUUAAGGAACCAGGGGGUGAGGUAAGGAGGAAGAGGUCAGUGGGCAGGGCAAGGCCACUCGGGCAUGCUGGAUUGGUCCCAGGCCCUGGAGGGCGAGAGAAAGACAGUGGCUGGAUCUCUAGGGCUCUCAUUGGCAGACACUGGGGCCCCAGGAACUAGGGCAAGAAGAGUGGUGAGGAUAGCAGGGAGUGUGUGCUACCCCCUACCCCCAACCCCCCUCUUUGUACCCUCCCCCCUUUGUCAACCUCCUGGCUCCGCUCCCAGGCCGAGGCAGCUGGAGUGAUUAGUGUGGGUGAAGGAGUACAAAUGCCAAAGGCUUGUCUCACGUCUCAGAACACAGGGAUCCAGCCAGAGUGGAUGGCACAACUGAGUGAGAAAUGGAGACCGAGAGAUAAACAGAAAUAAACAGGGACAACACCAAAGAGAUAGAGGAGAGAAGCAGGGCGGGAGACAAAAGAAGAGACCAAAGGCCCACACAGAGCAAGGGGG